UGGCGCGGGGAGGGCCGACAGUG
rnacentral:miRNA from 1 species